CUUCAAACAAACAACGAGCUCUGUACCCUUAUGGUAAAACAGCUGGUGAUUUCAAUGUCAAGACAAGAGGCAACGAGUAUUUUUACUAUUGGUAUGAUGCUAUCAGUGAUCCGAUCUAUUUUCCUACUGGUGUGCCAUUUGGAUCACAAACUAUUAAGGUGGCUCAUGUUCUGCCCAAUGGUGUGAUUACGUUUGGAAAGCAAGCAAGAGUCUGGUGGCCAAAUUUAUGGUACUUGACUUCUUCUUCAGAAGGAAAUGUUCUAGCUCCAUUUUGGACUUACACUAACCCAUACUCUAAUGGGACUGUUUAUUAUCAGCUCUAUGACAAGGCAAACAGCACUUCAGCAAGCUUCAUUACUAGAGCUACUGAUGAGGUCAGAGAGCAGUACAAACUAAACAAUUUCAACGCUACAUGUGUCCUGGUAGCUACUUGGGAGAAUGUAGAGCCUGAGUCAUGGUAUUACUGGUUGUGUGAUUACUAUCGCUAUUGGAAGGAUUAUUACUGGUGGUGGCAAUUUUAUCAAUAUUAUUAUGAUCUCUACUGUA
rnacentral:sRNA from 1 species